rnacentral:tRNA from 1 species
UGAGGUUGUAGCUCAGUGGUAGGGCAUUUGCCUAGCAUGCAUGAAGCCUUGAGAUCAAUUCCCCAUACCUCAA